rnacentral:rRNA from 1 species
UACGUAGGGUGCAGGCGUUAAUCGGAAUUACUGGGCGUAAAGCGUGCGCAGGCGGUUUGUUAAGUCUGAUGUGAAAGCCCCGAGCUUAACUUGGGAACUGCGCUCGAAACUACUUGGCUAGAGUGUGGCAGAGGGAGGUGGAAUUCCACGUGUAGCGGUGAAAUUCGUAGAUAUUCGCAAGAACACCAGUGGCGAAGGCGGCUCACUGGCCCGAUACUGACGCUGAGGUGCGAAAGCGUGGGGAGCAAACAGG